AUGUCGAGGAUGAUGGUGACGAGCAAGUCGGAGUUCGUGAGGCCGAAGCCAUUCCAGCUCUUCCACAGCCACAAGGAGAGCCUUGACAGGCUGUACGAGUGGGACAAGAAGCUCUACGAGGAAGUCAAGCCAGACGAGCGCGUUCGGCUGUGGUACGACAAGAAGUGCGUGCACCUGAGGAGCCAUGACGCCAACAGUGCGGAACCGUUCGCCCUCAAGACGACCAGGGCUGCCAUCAGGACCUCGGGACCAAGCUCAGCAUCUCCCUCGCCUCCAUCGACACCGUGUCCCAGAGGGUUAUCACCUCGCAACAACGAGCUGCUGCCUACUGCUGUAGGCCGUAGCUUGCUUAGCUCAUCCGAAGGCUGA
rnacentral:rRNA from 1 species